CUGUGUUCCUUGUGGUGACCAGAUGACACCAGGAGACAUGCCCCUGGCCAGUGUGAGUCGCAGCAGAGCAGCAGGGGAGACCCUGGAGGAGGGAGCUCCCCUCAAUUGAUGGCUGCAGAUUGAAUUUCCAGAGUCUGAGGAGGAGGAAGUGCUUCA
rfam:Myotis davidii contig181072, whole genome shotgun sequence.